GAUGAACGCUGGCGGCGUGCUUAACACAUGCAAGUCGAACGCGCAGCCUUUGGAGCUUGCUUCGGAGGUGGGCGAGUGGCGAACGGGUGCGUAACACGUGGGAACCUGCCCUGGAGUGGGGGAUAACGGCUGGAAACGGUCGCUAAACCCGCAUGGUCUUAGAAGGUGAGAGCCUUCAUAAGUAAAACUCCGGUGCUCCAGGAUGGGCCCGCGGCCUAUCAGGUAGUUGGUGGGGUAAUGGCCUACCAAGCCGAUGACGGGUAGGGGGCGUGAGAGCGUGGCCCCCCACACGGGAACUGAGACACGGUCCCGACGCCUACGGGCGGCAGCAGUGAGGAAUCUUGCGCAAUGGGGGAAACCCUGACGCAGCGACGCCGCGUGCGGGAGGAAGGCCUUCGGGUCGUAAACCGCUUUUCUGGGGGACGAGAAAAAGGACGGUACCCCAGGAAGAAGUCCCGGCUAACUACGUGCCAGCAGCCGCGGUAAAACGUAGGGGGCGAGCGUUAUCCGGAAUUACUGGGCGUAAAGGGCGUCUAGGCGGCUUGCUAAGUCUUGUGUGAAAUCUCCCGGCUCAACUGGGAGGGUGCAUGGGAAACUGGCAGGCUUGAGACUCGAAGGGGGGUGCGGAAUUCCCGGUGGAGCGGUGGAAUGCGUUGAUAUCGGGAGGAACACCCGAGGCGAAAGCGGCACCCUGGUCGAGGUCUGACGCUGAAGCGCGACAGCGUGGGGAGCGAACGGGAUUAGAUACCCUGGUAGUCACGCCGUAAACGUUGGGCACUAGGUGUGGGUCUCAACCAACGAGAUCCGCGCCGUCGCAAACGCAUUAAGUGCCCCGCCUGGGGAGUACGGUCGCAAGACUAAAACUCAAAGGAAUUGACGGGGGCCCGCACAAGCAGCGGAGCGUGUUGCUUAAUUCGAUGUUACGCGAAGAACCUUACCUGGGUUUGACAUGUAGGGAAAAGCUCUAGAGAUAGGGUGUCCUAACGGGCCCUACACAGGUGGUGCAUGGCUGUCGUCAGCUCGUGUCGUGAGAUGUUGGGUUAAGUCCCGCAACGAGCGCAACCCUUAUCCUAUGUUGCCAGCGGGUAAUGCCGGGGACUCGUAGGAGACUGCCGGGGUCAACUCGGAGGAAGGUGGGGACGAAGUCAAGUCAUCGUGCCCCUUAUGCCCAGGGCUGCAAACACGCUACAAUGGCCGGUACAGAGGGCUGCGAUCCCGUGAGGGUGAGCGAAUCCCACAAAGCCGGUCUCAGUUCGGAUUGGAGUCUGCAACUCGACUCCAUGAAGCCGGAGUUGCUAGUAAUCCCGGAUCAGCACGCCGGGGUGAAUACGUUCCCGGGCCUUGUACACACCGCCCGUCACACCACGAAAGUCGGCAACACCCGAAGCCGGUGGCCCCAACUCCCAAGAGGGGGAGCCGUCGAAGGUGGGGUCGGUGAUUGGGGUG
rnacentral:rRNA from 1 species